rnacentral:tRNA from 1 species
GUCCCAGUAGUAUAAAUAUUACUCUGGUC